UACGUAGGUGGCAAGCGUUGUCCGGAAUUAUUGGGCGUAAAGCGCGCGCAGGCGGUCCUUUAAGUCUGAUGUGAAAGCCCACGGCUCAACCGUGGAGGGUCAUUGGAAACUGGGGGACUUGAGUACAGAAGAGGAAAGCGGAAUUCCACGUGUAGCGGUGAAAUGCGUAGAGAUGUGGAGGAACACCAGUGGCGAAGGCGGGUUGCUGGGCUGACACUGACGCUGAUGCGCGAAAGCCAGGGGAGCGAACGGG
rnacentral:rRNA from 1 species